ensembl:lncRNA
AUGGGAGGUUCCACAUCAAGAGACACAGUAACAACUACUACAGUUGCUACUACUACUCCUACUACCACGAUUACAACCACACAUGUCCCCACAACCUUCCAUGUCCCUUACAUGAGGUUUGAGGAGAAAUAUUUUAUUGCUCUAUCUUGUGUUGCAUCUCUUCUUUUUGUGGCAUUAGCAAUAACAGCAGUGUGUCAUUAUUGUUGGAAGACAUUACCUGGAGCAAAAGUGAGUAACCAAGAAACGAAUGAAAGUGAUCCUGAGACUCCUGCCAAUGCACAGACUAAUAAUUACCGGGACAGCAGCACUUCUGGAGAUAAGGACAGUGAAUGUGUCAUCUACGCUAACGUGACGAGUGUGGGAGGCGUUCCCCAGACUCUGUUGGUGACAGAGGCUACGGAGUAUGCCACGGUGAAGGUCUGAGCCAGUGAUGUCAGUCUUUCUCAAGUUUGUUCACUGUUGGAGGACAUUGCUGGGUGUUUGCAAGAUAAGCAUGCACCACUAGAGUGCGCUGUAGACGAGUUGCACUUUCAUCCUGUUCAGGUCAUCUCUAGUCAUUCAUCAUUGGUCAAUAAUAAAGCAAACUGUGAUCAACUGUCAGUCAAGUAUUCUAAAGGGUUAAAUAGUUUGUGAAUAUAUUUAUUUAAUUCUGUGUUUUGUUUGUGAACAAAUUCAAUUGUGUGACUACUUACUAAAUAAAGAUUGGCCUCUUGCCCUGAAUAUUUAAUUCAUUACACACAAAUUUUUCACUCUUUAAAAAAUACAACUCUUUGAUUCAAAUGUACUGAACUCAGUAUCCAUGUCUGAUUUAGCAGAAGUGGCUACUGAAAAUGUCUGGGCGGCCAAAUGCAAGUCUCAGAUCCUAGUGCAGUGAACGUGUGGUGGAU